GAGGUCUUGGGCAGCAGCUGCAGUGUGCCGUCCGGCCGUACGCUGCAGCUCGCCUGAAUGAACCCAGAAUAUAACAGGAAUGACUGAUGGUCCGUCCUGGCAGUUGCAGGUGUGAGCAUUCAUCCAGCUGUCUGAUGCUCAUGUAUGAUACUGCACACAUUC
rnacentral:snoRNA from 1 species